rnacentral:rRNA from 1 species
CAAGCCUGAUGCAGCGACGCCGCGUGAGGGAUGACGGCCUUCGGGUUGUAAACCUCUUUCAGCAGGGGAGAAGCGAAAGUGACGGUACCUGCAGAAGAAGCGCCGGCUAACUACGUGCCAGCAGCCGCGGUAAUACGUAGGGCGCGAGCGUUGUCCGGAAUUAUUGGGCGUAAAGAGCUUGUAGGCGGUUUGUCGCGUCUGCUGUGAAAGCCCGGGGCUUAACUCCGGGUUUGCAGUGGGUACGGGCUAACUAGAGUGCAGUAGGGGAGACUGGAAUUCCUGGUGUAGCGGUGGAAUGCGCAGAUAUCAGGAGGAACACCGAUGGCGAAGGCAGGUCUCUGGGCUGUAACUGACGCUGAGAAGCGAAAGCAUGGGGAGCGAACAGGAUUAGAUACCCUGGUAGUCCAUGCCGUAAACGUUGGGCACUAGGUGUGGGGGACAUUCCACGUUUUCCGCGCCGUAGCUAACGCAUUAAGUGCCCCGCCUGGGGAGUACGGCCGCAAGGCUAAAACUCAAAGAAAUUGACGGGGGCCCGCACAAGCGGCGGAGCAUGCGGAUUAAUUCGAUGCAACGCGAAGAACCUUACCAAGGCUUGACAUAUACUGGACUCCCCUAGAGAUAGGGUUUCCCUUCGGGGCUGGUAUACAGGUGGUGCAUGGUUGUCGUCAGCUCGUGUCGUGAGAUGUUGGGUUAAGUCCCGCAACGAGCGCAACCCUCGUUCUAUGUUGCCAGCACGUGAUGGUGGGGACUCAUAGGAGACUGCCGGGGUCAACUCGGAGGAAGGUGGGGAUGACGUCAAAUCAUCAUGCCCCUUAUGUCUUGGGCUUCACGCAUGCUACAAUGGCCGGUACAAAGGGUUGCGAUACUGUGAGGUUGAGCUAAUCCCAAAAAGCCGGUCUCAGUUCGGAUUGGGGUCUGCAACUCGACCCCAUGAAGUCGGAGUCGCUAGUAAUCGCAGAUCAGCAACGCUGCGGUGAAUACGUUCCCGGGCCUUGUACACACCGCCCGUCAAGUCACGAAAGUUGGUAACACCCGAAGCCGAUGGCCUAACC